rnacentral:rRNA from 1 species
UCUUAAAAUCAUUGAAUCAAUGGUUCUUGAGAUAACGUAAGGGAAAAAAAUGAUAGUACCUUACUAUAAGUGUUGUCCAACAUUACUGGUGCCAGAAGACUCGGUAACGCCAGAAACGCAAACGUUAGUCGUCCUAAUCAGGCGUAAAGGGUAAGUAGGCUGCUUUGAAAGUUGUUAAAUAGAAAGCUCUUUAAAAAUUUUUUAAAGUAAAUAAUAAUGAAUUAAAGCUAGAAUCAAAUAGGGGAUAAGCCAAAUAAUAUUUAGUGUAAGGCUAAUAUCUUUAGAUACUAAAUGGAAUACUAAGGUGAAAACUUUUAUCUACUAAUGAUUGACGCUGAGGAACGAAGGUGAGAAUAGAAAACAGGAUUAGAGGCCCAGGUAUCUCUCACUGUCAACGAUGAAUGGUAGUUGUUAGUUAAACUU